rnacentral:misc_RNA from 1 species
GUAAAUAAUAAUUAUCAUAAUCUUUUGAUUGUGGAAUUGGGCUUUUAUUUCAUUUUUUAAUGGUUUAUGGCCUUAAAUUUAUGUUACCGCUUGUUUAAUAUGAAAUUCGACCGAAUGGAGCAAUUAAACAAUUCUCUCGUUAGGCGGAUUCAUCAAGCAAUUACGAUUUUUUGGCCGUCGAAGCACUUUUUUUUAGAAGUGCUUGGUCGAGAUUGUAAGAUACAUUUAA